UACGUAGGUGACCAGCGUUGUCCGGAUUUACUGGGCGUAAAGGGCGCGCAGGCGGUCGUUCAAGUCGAGUGUGAAAGCCCCCGGCUCAACUGGGGAGGGUCAUUCGAUACUGAUCGACUCGAAGGCAGGAGAGGGAAGCGGAAUUCCCGGUGUAGUGGUGAAAUGCGUAGAUAUCGGGAGGAACACCAGUGGCGAAGGCGGCUUCCUGGCCUGUUCUUGACGCUGAGGCGCGAAAGCUAGGGGAGCAAACGGG
rnacentral:rRNA from 1 species